UACGAAGGGGGCUAGCGUUGCUCGGAAUCACUGGGCGUAAAGCGCACGUAGGCGGCUUUCUAAGUCAGGGGUGAAAUCCUGGAGCUCAACUCCAGAACUGCCUUUGAUACUGAGGAUCUUGAGUCCGGGAGAGGUGAGUGGAACUGCGAGUGUAGAGGUGAAAUUCGUAGAUAUUCGCAAGAACACCAGUGGCGAAGGCGGCUCACUGGCCCGGUACUGACGCUGAGGCACGAAAGCGUGGGGAGCAAACAGG
rnacentral:rRNA from 1 species